ACGACCUUACUUGAACAGGAUCUGUUCUAUAGGAUCGUACCUCUGUAUCCUUGAUUUCUAAGGAGACAGGAACUCAAACCUGGUUGAUGAAUCAGGACCGUGUGAUCAGAGCGUGAUUAACAAUCGGAUUGUCUCUGGAUCAUCUUGACUGUAGAGGAUCGUUCUCAGCCAGUCUUCUCUGGCUGGGGUGGUCACUCGGUUGUCUGACAGGCU